CGAAUGGAAGUUUAUUUUUUUCACAUAAAAUAUUCAGAGGUCAGUGACUGCUGGUGCCAGUUUAGAGGCUCUGUACGGUCAUGGCUGCUCUGUCAGGUUGGCAUUGCUGCGCUUUUCCCUCAUGGUUGCAUUCUGGCUGCAGCAGCUCCAAUGGUCACACACACCCCCUAAAAAAGAAAGAAGAGAGAGAAAUGUGGCAUCCAUGUCAGAGAAUCAAAAUAUUUCGGAAGAACUCUGUGAGGCAAUGGCGACAGCGGCGGCGAGAGGAUGAACAACAAGUUCAAUGCCUUGAAAGAUGAUGACAGUGGGGACCAUGAUCAGAAUGAAGAAAACAGCGCACAGAAAGAUGGUGAAAAGGAAACAAUGGAACGAGACAAGAAUCAGAAAAGCAGCAAAAGGAAGGCUGUUGUCCCUGGACCAGCAGAGCACCCCCUGCGGUACAACUACACUUCCUGGUACUCCAGGAGAACCUCCGGCUGUCCUGCCAGCUCACAAAGCUACAAACAGAAUAUCUAACAGAUCGGCCCCUGUGCCCCUGUGGAGCAGUUCUGGAGGUUUUAUAGCCACACAGGAUGCCCCGGGUACCUGACAGGCCACAGUGACUUCCGUCUCUUCAAAGAAGGAAUUAAACCCAUGUGAGAGGAUGAUGCGAAUAAAAACAGUGGCAAGUGGAUUAUUGGGUUGUGAAAGGGCUUGGCUUCCUGUUGCUUGGAGAAUCUCAUCCUGGCCAUGUUAGGGGAACGGUUCAUGGUGGGAGAGGAGAUCCACGGGGCUGUGGUCCCUGUCUGCUUUCAGGAGAACAUUAUUUCAAUAUGGAAUAAGACUGUCAGCAACCAAGCAACCACAACCCAAAUCCAGGAUAGGCUUCAGCGGGUGCUUAACCCACCUCCCAGCACCGUUGUGGAAUACAAAACUCACACCAACAGCAUCAAAAUGCCAGGCAGGCUGGGCCCCCAAAGGCUCCUUUUUCAAAACCUCUGGAGGCCACAAUUGAAUGUGCCAUGACCCUCUCCAUCUCUGAAUGGUACCAUCAUUGAAGCCGGCAUUAUCUGAGUCUCUUGUUCUGUUGGCGUGCUACCUGGAAGA